rfam:Methanoplanus petrolearius DSM 11571, complete genome.
GCGAUAAUAGUCUAGCGGUAGGACGGUGGCUUCCCAAGCCUCUGACUCGGGUUCGAAUCCCGGUUAUCGCA